rnacentral:rRNA from 1 species
ACUCCUACGGGAGGCAGCAGUGGGGAAUAUUGGACAAUGGGGGGACCCUGAUCCAGCCAUGCCGCGUGUGUGAAGAAGGCCUUUUUGGUUGUAAAGCACUUUAAAGCGAGGAGGAGGCUUACCUGGUUAAUACCCGGGAUAAAGUGGGACGUUACUCGCAGAAUAAGCACCGGCUAAACUCUGUGCCAGCAGCCGCGGUAAUACAAGGGUGCAAGCGUUAAUCGGAUUUUACUGGGCGUAAAGCGCGCGUAGGUGGCUAAAUUAAGUCAAAA